rnacentral:misc_RNA from 1 species
AAUUAGUGUGAUUACAUGAUGCAUUUCAGUUCUCUUACGGUCAAAUGCUGAGCUCUCACCUGUUCAAAAGUGCAAAUGUGAUUGUAUAUUUGUUUCUACUUGUUAAUUUAUUAUAUAUUAUCAAUAAUAUCACCUCCUAGAUUUUAUUUUUCCAGCUUUUCUCAAAAUUUGUAGAACUCCACGGCUCCUAGUGCAACCCUGCUAAGUAACAAGAAGAAGGUGUGAAAAAGAGAUAUGGCCAAAUUAGUUAUUCCAGCCUUUGAUAGGUGGCCAAAUUAGUUAUUCUAGCCUUUGAUAGGGCUUGUCACUCAUGAGUCACAGCACUCUGAGAUCAAGUGACUUGAAGCUUGACCACUUGGCCAUAUGUUACUGUUGUAUUUUCUGUACGGUUGCUUUCUUUUUAGCUUUCCCAUAUCACAUUUUUCUCAAUCCUUGGAUAGGAUUCCAACCAUGAAGAAGAGUUAGAAACAUUGACUAAUAAAUAAGAAUGAUUUUCAGAAAACAUGAAUCACACAUUUUGACAUGGUUUUGGGGGUUUCUGGUUUCUUUUGUAACUUUGUUAUCAUUGUUGGUAAUGUUCUUUGCCCAUUUGUUGUUAUUGUCGAGUAUGUUUCCUUUAGCAUGUGAUUGGUUUGGAAGGGCGAUCUAAUUAGUCCUGUUUUGGUCGAGUUUUAACUUGGUAUGGCCUUAUGUAGUCUUUGGUGCCUUUCCACCUUCUAGUCUAAACUUAUUAGUUAGAUGUUAUAGCUAGAAGAAAUUUGGAAUCUUCAUUGAUUACUGCUGCUUGAAGGAUAAAGAGGUUUGUUGCAUGGUCACAUCAGACAGAAUGUUGAAUCCGGUUUCUCGAUGGAUGGAAACCUACAUCUAUUUGUUCAUUUCUUUGUGCAAUAGGGGUUAAAAUUGUUCAAAGAGAGUUCCCCAAGGAGCUGAGAGUUUUAUUUAUAAGAGUCAUUUGCACAUGGAUAGGUGGUCAGAUGAUGUCUCCAUCGUGGUGGGUGGGAUUCUUAAAGUUAUAUGCAUUGGAAGAACUAUGUUCCAUAAUAAAAGGAUAUCUUAGUUCAGGUUGAAGUAGGUGAUUUGCUGCUGGGAGGUGAUGGUAAUUUUUUUUCUUUUCUUUUCCCCCAUUUUAUGUCAAUGUAAAACAUGGGGAAUGAAAAGUUAUUUAAAUAGAUGCAAUAUCAAAUCUCUUAUCCUUUGCAUAGAAGGGAGGAAAAAUAUGUUGAGAUAUCUAACACUGAAAUGUUACUAAUGAUGGGAUCUUUAUGACAAAAUAAGAUGAAGGGGCAUGUGAAGUAUAUUAGACCAAACCUUGGAUUUUUUUUUUGGGAGGUGGGGUGUGCAUAUAUUUGUUUCUUUGAAUAUGAUU